rnacentral:rRNA from 1 species
CUACGGAGGGGGCUAGGCGUUGUUCGGAAUUACUGGGCGUAAAGCGCACGUAGGCGGCUUUGUAAGUUAGAGGUGAAAGCCCGGGGCUCAACUCCGGAAUUGCCUUUAAGACUGCAUCGCUAGAAUUGUGGAGAGGUAAGUGGAAUUCCGAGUGUAGAGGUGAAAUUCGUAGAUAUUCGGAAGAACACCAGUGGCGAAGGCGACUUACUGGACACAUAUUGACGCUGAGGUGCGAAAGCGUGGGGAG